rnacentral:tRNA from 1 species
GCCCCCGUAGCUCAGUGGAGAAGAGCAUCGGUUUCCUAAACCGUGUGUCGGAGGUUCGAUUCCUCCCGGGGGCACCC